GAUGAACGCUAGCGGCAGGCCUAAUACAUGCAAGUCGAACGGUGUCUUCGGACAUAGUGGCGCACGGGUGCGUAACACGUAUGCAACCUGCCUUACAUUGGGGGAUAGCCUUUCGAAAGGGAGAUUAAUACCGCAUAAGACAGUAGCUGGGCAUCCAGCAGCUGUUAAAGAUUUAUCGAUGUAAGAUGGGCAUGCGUCCAAUUAGUUAGUUGGCGAGGUAAUGGCUCACCAAGACUUUGAUUGGUAGGGGAACUGAGAGGUCAAUCCCCCACACUGGCACUGAGAUACGGGCCAGACUCCUACGGGAGGCAGCAGUAGGGAAUAUUGGGCAAUGGACGCAAGUCUGACCCAGCCAUGCCGCGUGCAGGAUGAAGGCGUUAUGCGUUGUAAACUGCUUUUAUACAGGAAGAAACGACUCUUGCGAGAGGCAUUGACGGUACUGUAUGAAUAAGCACCGGCUAACUCCGUG
rnacentral:rRNA from 1 species